CCUAGGGGAGGCAGCAGUGGGGAAUAUUGGGCAAUGGAGGAAACUCUGACCCAGCGACGCCGCGUGAGGGAUGAAGGUCUUCGGAUUGUAAACCUCUUUCAGUAGGGAAGAAGCGAAAGUGACGGUACCUAAAGAAGAAGCACCGGCUAACUAUGUGCCAGCAGCCGCGGUAAU
rnacentral:rRNA from 1 species